UACCNGGAGCCACAAGUGGUAAUCACAAUUAUUGGGUCUAAAGCGUCCGUAGCCGGUUUGGUAAGUUUCUUGUGAAAUUGUCAGGCUCAACCUGACAACGGGCAAGAAAUACUGCCAGACUUGAGACCGGGAGAGGAUAAAAGUAUUUCAGGGGGAGCGGUAAAAUGUUAUAAUCCCUGAAGGACUACCGAUGGCGAAGGCAUUUAUCCAGAACGGGUCUGACGGUGAGGGACGAAGGCCAGGAGAACGAUAAGGAUUAGAUACCCUAGUAGCCCUGGCAGUAAACGCUGUGAGCUAUGUGUUGCAUGUUCUUCAUGGACGUGCAGUGCCGUAGAGAAGUCGUUAAGCUCACCACCUGGGAAGUACGGUCGCAAGGCUGAAACUUAAAGGAAUUGGCGGGGGCGCGUCACAAGGAGUGGGGCGUGCGGUUUAAUUGGAUUCUACGCCGGAAAUCUCACCGGGAGCGACGGCAGGAUGAAGGUCAGAUUAAAGGUCUUACCUGACGAGCCGAGAGAUAUUGCAUGGCCGUCGUCAGUUCGUGCUGUGAAGUGUCCUGUCAAGUCAGGCAACGAACGAGACCUACACUUACAUUUGCUAACGUUUCCUUUUGGAAGUAUGAGCACAAUGUAAGGACUGCCCUUGAAAAAGGGAGGAAGGUGUAGGCAACGGUAGGUCAGUAUGGUUCGAAUCUUCCGGGCUACACGCGCGCAACAAUGACAUGGACAGUGGGAUACGACUCUGAAAAGAGAAGUCAAUCUCGAAACCAUGCCCAAGUUCAGAUUGAAGGUUGUAACUCACCUUCAUGACGCUGGAAUUCCUAGUAAUCGGGUUUCAUCAUGGCCCGGUGAAUACGUCAACGUGCCU
rnacentral:rRNA from 1 species